UUUCUUUCCUUUUUUUUUUUUAACAGGUCUAACUGGUGUCAAGGGAGAAAAAGGAAAUCCAGGCAUUGGAACCCAAGGUCCAAGAGGCCCCCCUGGACCAGCAGGACCUUCAGGGGAGAGUCGGCCAGGAAGCCCCGGGCCCCCCGGCUCUCCUGGGCCCAGGGGUCCACCUGGUCACCUGGGGGUGCCUGGACCACAAGGUCCUUCUGGCCAGCCUGGAUACUGCGACCCCUCUUCGUGUUCUGCCUACAGGGUAGGAGAUCCGAUUCCUUACAAUGAUUACCAGCACUGAGGUGGAGCUCCUCCACUCUGAUUCCAUUGGCCUGGGCAAUUGGCUACGGAUCCAGAACUGUCCUGUUGACCACCCUCCUGCCCCCAGCCCCUGCCCCUAACCAUGGGCACUCCGCUUCCCUGCCUCACCUGCUUCCCUACCUGCCCACUGUCACGUCUCUUGCCCUCCCCGCUCCCGACACAUACACUGAUAAUACUGGAAAUUAACCAGAUCACAAGUGUCCGUUGUAAUAGAAACUGACUGCUCUGUAUCAGCCUGGAUGUCAGUAUAUGACUGUGUACCAAGAAUUUAUCCCCAACUUUUCUGUGUGAAGGCUCGGUAAUAGCUGUCUAAAUGUGCCUUCUCCUCUUUCCUGUCCCCACACAAGAUUGACGGGCACCUUUCUCCCUGACCAUCCUCCUCUCCAUCCUCCUCUGAUGCCCUCCCUUCCUGACUGUCCCCCUGGUGAUGGGUUUCUAACGUGAGAUCAGUUUUAAACAUUUAUUUUUCUGCUAAAAUUCUGCUGAGAUUCAGGGUUCCUUUUGUAAAUAAAACACAUGCUAUUUAAGCAGUUGGCCGUGAUUCUAGUUUUCUAACCGUUUCUGUAACGGAUCUGUCCCUUCUUUGCUAACCAUCUGAAACCUCGCGGGGAAGUGCAAGCGGCAUGGUGGUCAAGCAAGCUACUACUUUCCACCCAAGCAGGCUUUCUCUCUCGUGUAUUGACCAAAUCUGUGUCUCUUAUGGACCUGUGUGAGGGGAGAAUAUCAAUUUACAGUUCCUGGUCCUAUCAAGUCCCCACCCCACUCUUCCUCUCUAGCUCCCCAUCCCGAUCAACCGGAAUUCACUCCUGUCCAAGAUGAGCUAGAAGCCAUGGAACUGUGGGGCUCGGGCAUCUGAUCGCCUCAGGACAAAUUCAAAGAGCAACUGCAAGAACUCUUAGAGAAACUUAUUCAAGAAGAAUGUCAUUAUGUGGUUUGUAUGCUACCUUUGGGGGGCUUAUCUCAGCAGCCUAAAUCUCCUUGGACAUUGCUAAUAUUGGCAUUAUUAGCAAAAAAAAUUAUAUUUUAAAAAACCCUCUUAAUCUAUGAUACCACAGGAUUUAUUUUUCUUUGUUAUUUUAAUGGCCUGCCAGAUGAUUUGUUUUUCCAGAGGAGAGUGCUCAAAGGAAAAUUGGCACACACAAAAAAAUUGAACUCUGGAAUCUUUUCUGUGUUAGAUGAUCUCAAGUCCUAAAGUGCAUCAAGACAGCUAUGAUUGUAUUCAAAGGAAAUGGGGCCCUCGCAGAAUAAGAAUUUAAAGAGAUUCAAAGAUUAUGCCAUUUAUCCCUAUCUCCUCUGGCCUUGCUGAAAAGAAAGAGGGAUAUUAUUGGAGAAACUACCUCUUGAUUAACUGAUCUGCCCAGCUCUGAGAUCACGUGGUACCUCAUUUCACUGGUGUCUAAGAAUAUGCAUCAGAAUAUAACCUUUCUGAAUUUGGUGAUUUUAAAAAUAGAUUUAGUUUUUUCAAUGGUUUGACAUGUAAAAUAGUGACUUUCCACCAGUUCUGAUGCAAAGAGAUCCAAUUUUGAUGAACGACUUAUCCAGCAGUAUUCCAAGGCUUGCCCUCUUUAUCUACAUGGAUUCCUUUGUACAUGCAGAUAAGUUUUUUGCAAACCCAUUUCCAUUCUCUUUUAUAAGCAAAUAAAAAUUUAAAACAACGUA